rnacentral:ncRNA from 1 species
AGGAGGACGCUGCCGAAGGUGGGAUUGACGACUGGGGUGAAGUCGUAACAAGGUAGCCGUAUCAGAAGGUGCGGCUGGAUCACCUCCUUU